GGUCCAGACUCCUACGGGAGGUAGCAGUGGGGAAUAUUGGGCAAUGGGCGCAAGCCUGACCCAGCAACGCCGCGUGAAGGAAGAAGGCCCUCGGGUUGUAAACUUCUUUUGUCAGGGACGAAGAAAGUGACGGUACCAGACGAAUAAGCCACGGCUAACUACGUGCCAGCAGCCGCGGUAAUACGUAGGUGGCAAGCGUUAUCCGGAUUUACUGGGUGUAAAGGGCGUGUAGGCGGGAUUGCAAGUCAGAUGUGAAAUUCCAGGGCUCAACCCUGGAACUGCAUUUGAAACUGUAGUUCUUGAGUGAUGGAGAGGCAGGCGGAAUUCCGUGUGUAGCGGUGAAAUGCGUAGAUAUACGGAGGAACACCAGUGGCGAAGGCGGCCUGCUGGACAUUAACUGACGCUGAGGCGCGAAAGCGUGGGGAGCAAACAGGAUUAGAUACCCCGGUAA
rnacentral:rRNA from 1 species